rnacentral:snRNA from 1 species
CUCCCUUUCUAGCCCUUUGGCUAAGAUCAAGUGUAGUAUCUGUUCUUAUCAGUUUAAUCUGGUUCAUUCAGAUUUAUUACUGAGGCAGGUGACUAUACCAUCU